rnacentral:rRNA from 1 species
AUGGCAUCCUCCUCCUCAAUCAUCCAGGUCGUCAGUGAGUCCAUCUUGGACAGCGACGUCAUCCCCUCCUCGCUCAUCGAGAUUGCGCCCUUCCUCCGUGUCGCCAACGAGGUUGAGGCGAUCAACCCACGCGUCGCAUACCUAUGUCGAUUCCAUGGCGGAUUCGAGAAGGCGCAUCGCCUCGACCCGCUCUCCAACGGCCGUGGUGUCCGGCAGUUCAAGAUCGCGCUCCUGCAGAGGCUCGAAAGGGGGAGGGUUGAGCAGAGCGAUGCUGUCGAAAUAAAGAAUUUCUACCAGCAAUACUACAAGAUGUACAUCCAGGCGCUCCAGAAUGCUGCAGAUAAAGCUGAACGUGAUCAGCUCACAAAGGCUUACUAG